AAAAUCAGAGAAAGCAUGGUUCUGAAACAUUGGAAGGUUAGAUGUCUGAAGUGUUUUUCAUUGGACCAAAAUCAAGGUGUUGGCUGGGCUACCUUCCCUUCUGGAGACUCUAAGGAAGAAUCCAUUUCCUUGUCUUUUCCAGAUCCUAGAGGCUACCUGCAUUCCUUGGCUUUUAUCCCCAAUCUUCCAUCUUCGGAGCCAGCAACAAUAUAUUGAUCAUGAGGAGAGGGCUCACCCCUCACCCGGAGAAGUAGUUGGGGAAGCAAUAUGCGGAAACAAAGCCAUGAAUCUGACAAGAAAUGUACUUAAGAUUGUAUAUAUGGAGAUGAAUACCCAUUGUCCUUUGCACUUUCUGGAUGAUAAAUUAGAAAAGAAAAAUCCAAAGAAUGAAGUUGUGCUAUUUGUCCUCACUUCUGAUUUGGGAAACUAGAGGAAAUUAAGAUGGGAAAAGACCAUGUGAGGACACAGUGAGAAGGAGACCAUAUGCAAAGCAGGAAGGAAGAUCUCACUGGAACCAAAAACCAGCCCUGCUGGCACCCUGAUCUUGGACUUCUAGCCUUUCUCAGAACUGUGAGAAAAUAAAUUUCUGAUGUUUC
rnacentral:lncRNA from 1 species